rnacentral:lncRNA from 1 species
AGUUGUUUUCGAUGAUGGAGCUUCCGAAUUGACGAUCCACUCCGUUAAAUAUGAUCUAGAGUAUUUGAAACUUUUAAAAAAUAAAUUUCGUAAUUUUUCGAAAUCAUAAUAAAGUCCAUCAAAUGGGCAUAAAAUGAACGGUCAAAAUCAAACGACGUCCUAAAAAUGGAUGAUCGGAUCCUUCAAUUUAAGAUCGGAGUUAUUGAUCUUUAUCUAGGUAGCAAGGUUUAAAGUGCCGUGGCACGGGGGCGUGUCGUUACAGCCCUGGCAUGGUACGGCACGGGCACGCUUGCGUGCCGACACGUGGUACGCUUGCGUGCCGACAGAUACGCAUGACCUCCUACUGGCAGGCUUUGGCACGGAUUUUUUUUCAGUUUUUUUGAUUUCAAUAAACUCUUAUAAUAUUAUUUUGAAAGAUUUAAAUGAAUAAUUAUUUAUAUUUGCUAUAUAUACCUUAUUAUACUCAUCAAUUAACAUGCAUGUAAGCUUUUUGUAAGUAAAAUACAAUUAUACCUGAUGUAGAAUAAAAAUUAAAAUACAAUAAUAAAAUUCACAAGUAUAAUAAUUAUUCAAAUUUACAUCUUUACAUAGAGAUGACUGCUAAAUUCCACAUAGAUUGUCGCGCUUGAUCAUAUGGCAUACUGUCAGUUGCAGAUACAACAUUUAUAUGACAAUGUUGAUAUAAGUAUUGCUGGUACUGUGAGAAAGUCAUAUAUUCCCGAUAUAGGUCAUUGUAUUGUCGGAGAUAAUUUGCAUAUGCAACUGGAUCGUGGAUAUAAUGGACAACAGUCAUCUGCGGCAUAUAAACUGAAGCAUCAUAAGGAUAUGGAUUGUAUGGAAAAGAAGAACCAUAAUGUGGAUAUGCAUGAGUGGAUGUAGAUUCGCCGUAUGAGCUUUCACUAUGUCCAGGGAUGGAUUGGGAUUCACUCUGAGUGCCAUAAAUUGAUGAAUCAUAAUCAAAUAUCUCUCCAUAUAGACCAUGUCGAUAUGAGGGAUGCGAUGAUAUUGAAGUACUAUCAAACUGUGUUUGCAAAGUAUCAUCCCUUCGUGGAGGUCUAGUUGAUAUUGCCUCCAAACCUUCUCUCAUCUCCCCAUAAUCUUGUUGUGAGGACCUCCUACCUUUUCGACGGUCAUAUACCAUUCCGGAUGUUUGACGUGGUCGAGACCCAUGAUCAGCAUCUUGAGUGGCAUGUGUGAAGUUUUGCUCUUCAGUAAAUAUAAGGCCACCACCACCUCCACUCUCCUGUUGUGUUGGUGGAAUGAAGUCGCCACCAUCCUCACUGCUAUUAGUGGUAUCAUCAUCAUCACUACAUUCAUCUUUAGACUGUGGUAAUCCAGAAUCUGCUGGUGUCGAUGUAUCACUAUCAUUAUCUUGUGGGAGUGCAUCAGCUGCAUCUAAUGGAUCCAUCGAUGUCAUACUUUUUUUACUCUUACCACUUCGGACUGUCGUUGAAGGCCUUUUUGCAGUAUAAGACGUUUUCUCCUUUCCAGAUUGACUCUGAGUACGACGUGAACGACCAUAUCCAGGUCCUUGCAUAAGACGUUCGAAUUCCGCAUCAGAGUCACGUGCAGGAUUUUGGGAUUCUUCGUCCAAAGCCGCUUAUUCUUGCACAUUAUCUUGAGAGCUUCCUAUGUUCUCGUCAGCCCAUCUUUCAGCAUCACUAAUUCCUGCUUCAUCAGCAAUUAUUCUGAAUGAUCGUGGUGGAUCUCCAGGCUCAUCGAGUAAUGGGUCUUCUUGAUUGUCUCUAUCUUGUAGCCAAUCAAGUACGGGGUCUGAUUCAUCAUUGAUAAAACUUGUAUCCAAGGGAUCAUAAGUUUUUAAUACCUUUUCCUUAUCAUACUCCUCCUGCAUACAUCUUAAACGGAGCCUCAUAUUAUAGUGGAUAUAAACUAGCUUCUCUAAUCGAGCGUACGCUAAUCGGUUACACACUUUGGUAUGUAUAAGUGCGAAUGUGCUCCAGUUGCGUUCACAUCCACUAGAUGUUGUUGUUUGUGAUAAGACACGCACAACAAUCUUUUUUAAGUGCUUUGCCCAUCCACCAUAUUGUAGCCACCACUCAGCUGUACAAUUAAAAGUUAAAAAUACAUCAAAUAAGAUUUAUCAUCAGCUGUAAACUGUUCAAAUUAUGGAGUUACUUACUGGGAUCGGUAUUGUGUCUUACGUUAAUUGCACCCGCUUCACCAAAAGUUCCAGAGGAUUCACGAAAUAUUUUUCCCUUUAUUAUGGUAGUAUAAUAAUCAGAAAUCAGCAUAUUAACAUCUAGCAAACUAAUAAUACAUUGAAAAAAUAUUAUACCUCACUUAUGGCAAGAGCAGCAUAUGUUGGAUCCCUCUCCAAUCUAUUGAUAACGUUUCGUAAUGCCUUCAACAGUUCAUCAUCAAAUCCAAGAUUAUAACGAUGAUGAUACGACGGAUUAAGAUAAUAACCUAUCAUUAAGAAAGAAAUCACUUCAUCAUCAAUACAAGACUACUAAUGAACAAUCAGUAAUAAAUAGUUUUGUUAUAAUUUAUCUAACUUACCUGCUAAGUGUAGAUCCCGGCUCAUCUGGACGUCCCAACGUCUGUCAAUAAUUUUUAGAAAAGAUUGGCACCGUAGUGGAUUAUUUUUUUUUAAUAUUAUCUUUAGCCAUCCUCAGUUUAUAAUAAACAUGUCCCAUUUGAGGUGUUUUUUCCUGAUCGACUAAACGGAGGACCACAUAUAGCGGCUCCACAAUAUCAACAAUCUCUUUCACAUAAUCCCAAAACUUGGUAGACAUAAUUAUUUGCUCAAUCGAUUUUCCAUCAGCCGUGGAGGCAUAACGAGAUGUUUGCCAUUCAUUUGAUGCAAACAUGGACUUUAAUCCAUUUUUAUUUUGAAGGAUACUGUUUAGAGCAAUAAAAUUUGUUGCAAAUCGUGUAAUACCAGGACGUACGAGUUCUCGUCCUGUGAAUUUCACCAUUAAACAAGGACCCAAAGAUGAUUAUACAAGUACUUAGAUAUACGUUGUGCAGUAUGUACAGUUUUUUCACCCGAUUUAUCUCACCAAAGUCAGACAUCAUUAGGUUGAUGCAAUGCGCUGCACAAGGAGUCCAAAAUAAAUGGGGAUGCCUUUGCAUUAAUAGUUUGCCAGCUUUCUUAAAAUUUGCACCAUUGUCCGAUAUAACUUGUACCACACAUUUCUCACCAAUCUCACGUAAAACUUGUUCCAAUAAUGCAUAUAUAUAGUCAGCAUCUUCAAAUCGACCGGUUGCAUCGAUUGAUUUGUGAAAUAUCACCUUGCCAUUACAAUAAAUUAAAAAAUUUAUAAUGCUCAUUUUUGUUGGUCCUGUCCAACUAUCACACAUCAAUGUCACACCGUACAUCUCCCACAGUUGUUUUAAGUUUUUUACCCAUUCAUGAAUAUCAUUGACCUCCGCGUCAAGAUAUUUGUUAGAGAGCUAAUACGGUGUUGGAGGUUCAACUCCUUGACCCUCUUUUUGUAUGGUAGCAAUCAUUGAUCUAUAAUAUGGAGUACUUGCUGCAUGGGAAGGAAUAUGACUAAAGUGAAAAAACUUUGCUAUAGCUCUACCAAUUCUACAUUUUUUUAUCUUUUUUUAACAUUGUAUCUAUACGUUGCUGUUGAGCAUCUGAGUGUGGAAUGGCCAUUGGGUCUAUAUCUAUAAUAUUUGGAUGUCUUCCACUUUUUUCUUUUGGUCCUUUUUUAAAUCUGUCGAACAAACGGCUAACAGAACCACUGCGAGCUAAACCAGAUUGUGCAGACCCAGACCCAGACCCACCACCGGCAUCAAACUGAGACCGUCCAAAUUGUGCUCUAUGUCGUUGGACUUCAUCUUGCUGCCAUCUUUCUUGUGCAGAUGCUUCCAUGGCAGCUCUAGUAUCAGCAUCUAAUUCAUCACCUAUACCUUCAUAUGGGUCAAUAGGGGGAUAUUCUGCCGCUCGUUUAUCUAGUUCAUCUCGAUCAUCUCUUACUUUCUUUUUUGCUAAUUUUGAAGAUUCUAACUCAAUUUUCAUUGCAUGUCUUAUUUCCUGAGGGACUUUAGGGCAGUUUGAUACUUCAGAAAAACCCCCAGCAAUAUGUUUCUUUAGGCGAGUGACACCUCCGCCCAUUCCGACCAUAUUACAAUAAUUGCACUUCCAAUGAAACCUAUUCGUAUCAAUCAUUUGUCCAUGUUGCCAACCAUAAUCUUCUGAUCGUUUAGGUGCCAUUAUGAUCUAUAAUUAUUGACAUACAAACAAAUAAAAUAAAAUCUAUUCCAGAAAAAUAAGAAAAAGAACGAUAUGAUGAAAAAUGUAUCAUAUCUACUAAGUACCAAAUUUGAAAAUUCUUUUGUUUUUAUUUUUAUUUUUUGAUAAGUUUGAAAAAAUUAUAACAGAUAAAGUUAUAGAAUAUUAUAACAGAUAAAACGAAAUGACAAAUAAAUUAAAUAAACUUAAAUAUCAAUUGAUUUCAUUUGGCUUUUAAUUUUAUCAAUAUUUUAUAUCUUAUGAUGCAAAAAAAGAAAUUAUAAUUGAUGUUGUUUACCCUGAUUCGCCGAACGCUUCACAGUGCGAGAAAUUUUGAUAAAAUAAUUUGCUCAAAGAAAGUGGAUGUCUGUGUUGGAUCAGAUAUGUCAAUUAAAAAUUAGCCGCUAUAUUUAUAAAUAACAAAUUUAAAUUAUUAUUUUUUUUGACUUACCUAAUAAACAAAUCUGCGAUAUGAGAUGUCCUUGCCUUCUUUUCAAGUGACUUUUUUUCAAGCGACGAAAGAAAGAGGACAAAUAAUUUUAGGAAGAUAUGUAAGAACUGAAAAAAAAAAAAAAAAAGAGAGGAGAAGAUAGCUAAGGUUGCUAAGCACCGGCAAAAGAAAGAAAGGGGAAGAAAGAAUACGAAGGAAAGAAAGAUUCGUGCAGAGGUUAGGAGGCGGGUUUGCAUAAAUUUAUAAUCUCACACUCGGAGCCUUUGCAUUAUACAGCCUUUGAGUUACCCAAAGGCCAAACAAAAAGACAACAAAAGUAAAUUACACUGUGGGCAUGUGAUAUGAUGCCCACAGCAACCCAAUUAAUCAAAUGGCAAAGAAAAAGACAAAAAAAAAAUUGCUUUGACCUGUAUGCAUGUGACUAUGGGCCACACCAAACUAAUCAACCAAAUGCUAAAGAAAAAGACAAAAAAAAAAAAGAAAACAAAGGCUGUGGGCAUGUGAUAGAUGCCCACAGCAAAAAUAGAUCCAAAGAGAAAAAAAAAAGCAAAAGCAAAAAAAAAAAACAAAAGCCAAAAAAAAACAAAAAAAAAAAAGGUGGCACGGGGGCGGCACUGUGCCGCUUUGUCUCGAGCGGCACGGGGCAUACUGAGACCCCCCUGUGCCGUCCCCCUUUCUUGGGGGCACGGCACGGCACGGCCCGUGCUGCGCGGCACGAGGUGGCACUGUGUUCCUUGCUAGGUAGUGAAUAGAAUUUUCUAUCAAAAAUUCAAUCUAUUCCAAUU